AUGCUAACAGGUGUUGGUGUUCUUGCGAGGGUUUCUGAUGGACUAGCUGCUAUUGCCGCCAAUUGCAGAGACUUUUUAGGGGAACAGAUAGUGAGCUUAGCCUUAUUGGAAGAUUAGCUGCGGUGCUUGUGCUGGUAAUUUGAAUUCGGCCGAGAUAUCGUUCUAACAAUUGAAGAUGCACUAGACGCUCUGUACGGUUGCCGAGAUAUCAGUAGAUCUGUGUUUUGUAUUCGGCCAACCAUUAACAUAAGUUCAAGAAAAUGAUGAAGAGUGUGAUGGCUUGGUGAAAUCAAAGAGGGCAUUUACAGAUUUCUAUUGCUUAAAAAGUGUGAUGGGUUGAUGAAAUCAUAUUUUCGUUCCGAUUUUGGUCAAACAUAAAGGUCAACAAGACUGAAAAGCUUUCUAUGUUUGAUGUAGCAAU
rnacentral:lncRNA from 1 species